rnacentral:ncRNA from 2 species
CAAAUAUGUGUAGAAACAGGUGCAGAUAACCUUCGUUAUUUGCUUAAAAGGGAAGUUCGGUUCGAAUCCGACGCUGUCCCGCAACUGUAAAUGAGAGCUAUUCGAAAAAAUACCACUGUUUUCAUUCAAAUGAAAAUGGGAAGGUUCGAAUCGCGAUGAUCAUGAGCCAGGAGACCUGCCUGUUUUAGCACACACAU